rnacentral:rRNA from 1 species
GACGAACCGUCCUAACGUUGUUCGGAAUCACUGGGCUUAAAGGGCGCGUAGGCGGCUUGCCAAGUCAGGGGUGAAAUCCUGCAGCUUAACUGUAGAAGGGCCUUUGAUACUGGCGAGCUCGAGGGAGGUAGGGGUAUGUGGAACUUCCGGUGGAGCGGUGAAAUGCGUUGAUAUCGGAAGGAACGCCGGUGGCGAAGGCGGGUCUCUGGGCCGAUAUUGACGCUGAGGAGCGAAAGCGUGGGGAGCGAACAGG